UCCCUGGUGGCUCAGAGGGUAAAGCAUCUGCCCGCAAUGUGGAAGACCUGGGUUCGAUUCCUGGGUUGGGAA
rnacentral:tRNA from 1 species